CGUCAUCUGGUGCUUCUCUGUUUAAGAUUAAAUAUUUGGUUGAAAGCUCGCCAUAUCCCUGGAAUAGAUAAUUCAAUUGCUGAUUCGCUUUCCCGUUUUCAGUUUCAGACAUUCCGGCAGUUGGCGGAAGGGGCCGAUCUGAAAGGGGAAUCGUGCCCUGCGUACCUGUGGAAUCUGAUUUGGUCCUAGAUGGAUCAGUCAGGUAAGGGUACCUGGAUCCGUGUGAACAGAGUUGGGUCGGGUGGUAUUUGUCCGUUUUCACAGGUCUCACCGUAUGGAUUAUCGGCCAUUCUUUCGUAUAUUGGGCCCAUCGCAGAGCUGUA